UCCCUGUUCCUCUUCGCUUUUUAAUACACUAAAAGAAAGCUGUAUAAAAGACUUCUAAAAGGAACAUUAAAAACUGGUUAAGAAGUAAAUGUCAAGAUAGAGGACAUUACAAAAGUUUGGAGAGGAGAAAAAAAAAAGUCCAGAUCUUGUUUCUGGAAUGUUCUGGAUAGGAUUUUCAAUGUUCUGUAAUGCACAGAAUUAUCAACUUUGGUAGCAAAACUUAGUUCCCUUUUCUUUAUAUUCUGGGAUAAAAGAGCAUGUGGGAACGGAACUUGUGGUAAAGAUAACCUUGCCACAAAGGGACCCCACCCCUGCUUACCUUCCACUGGAUCUAGCUGUAAAUAUCUAGUGAAUGGUAAGUGUGAGGCUUCCUGUAUUCUGCAGUGGGCAUUGCCACACCACUAUCUCAGUAAAAUGAACCGGAAUGCAAAAUUUAACACUUCUUUUGAAAUGUGAUGAAGCAACAUAGAAUUCAGAAACAGGAUGACCACAUCUUCUGUACUAUAUUGCACUCUUUUGCACAAUGCGCAAAAACACAACAUAAGAAACCCACAAAAGAAGGAAAUAGAACAAAUGAGGUUGUUGACUGGGCAGGUUGCAAGGUAAAAGGCAAAAUUUUUAACGCCCCACCUAGUUAACAUCCUCUUCUGACUCUUAUUUCUGUCCCCAAGCGUCUUUCCUUUUCAAUUAUUCUUUUUCAUCAUCCAGCCAGCCAUCCAGCCACCCAUCCAGCCAUCCAUCCAUCCAGCCACUCAUCCAGCCAUCCAUCCACCCAGCCAGCCACCCACCCAGCCAGCCACCCAGCCAGCCAGCCAGUCAGCCAGCCACCCAGCCACCCAGCCACCCACCCAUCCAUCCAAUAUUGAGCACCUUAGCAUGCUAUCUACUGGUGAUAUGAAUGUACACUGGUGUUAAAAAAGGACUUCUGCGGGGCUUACUGGUUGGUGAUAGACAUCUACGCGAUGCACUUGGGAAGGUAAGUGCAUCCCUUUUUGGGACUUGGAAGCUUCACAUUGGGAACCCUCCCAGACAUCCCCCUAUGCGCUUCUUCAUUUGUAUCCUUUUUUGCUAUAAUAAAACUAUAAUUAUAAGUUUAAAAAAUAAAAAAGGAAAAAAAGGACUUCUGCAGAAUUCUGGGCAAUAACUGUUGAUGCAGGAUGAUGGGAAGCCUUCAGUUAUCUUUUCUGGGGAAGGGAAAGGCCCGUUCUUAUGGCUUCUUCCAUACUGUGUUGGGACCUAGAGCCAAAGAAAUGGUCCAUCUGUCACCCAUAUGACUAAUCUUUCAGGAAAAUUACAAACCUAGCCUGAGCACUUGAAACAUGUUGAUGUAUAACAUAGUGAUUAAAAGCACAGGCUUUAAAACCGACAGACCUGGAUUCGAAUUUCCAUGUAAACACUAACUAGCUUUGUUAAGUAAUUAGUCUCUUAGCUACACUUUCCUCCUCUGCAUGACGGGGCUAGAUAUACCUCUCCCAUAAGAAUUGAAAGAAGUUAUGCAUGUAAAACAUCUGGUACAUAAUAGAAAGUGAAUAAGAGGUAAUAAACAUAAUUAUUGCUAUUGAUCAGCCAGUGAUCAUAUUUUGACCAUCGAAUACUGCACUGUAGGUAAGGAAGAAGGCGGGACAGGAGUAGCCCAUACUUGUUAUAGGGAGCCACAUCCCCAGGUUGAACCCCUCUGCUAGGAUGCAUUGGAGAAUUUUAUUCUAGAUAGACUCCUUGCCCUUGAAUAGUUAAUGCACCCAAAUUUUCUCCUUGCUAUUGCACAGUCUUAUUGCUGUUGAUGCUAGAGCCACUAACAAGCUGCUAAGAAUGUCAAUAAACACCACUAAUUACUUUGAAUUACACUCCCAUCAGGUUAGCCCAGAGUCAGAAAUUUACAAAGCAAGUAAAGUGCCUCCUAAUCUAACUAGUGGAGCAAUUUGAGUUGAGCCUAUUCUUUUUGGAAUGCUUCCUUGGACAUCUAUCUACACGUUUUCACAUGUCACCAAUAGUGAACAAAAUCAGGAUACCUGGUCACCUUAAAUGUGACUAAACAGUAUGAUGUUUAUAAUUAUAUGCAUUUUUUUACAUAAAUGGAUUUCUAAAAAAUAGAAUUGCAUACUUUCCUGAUGUGAAGACAAGGUUAUAGCUAAGCUUGUGGUUUCCAUCCCUUUUGUCUCCCUAUUAUAACCUCUCUCCCUAUUACAGCAACCAAAAAAAAAAGCCAAACCCGUUGCCGUCAAAUCAAUUUUGACUCGUAGCGACCCUAUAAGACAGAGUAGAACUGCCCCAUAGAGUUUCCAAGGAUCACCUGGUGAAUUUGAACUGCCAAUCUUUUGGUUAGCAGCUGCAGCACUUAGCCACUAUGCCACCAGGGUUUCCCAUUAUAGUGACAGUUACAACUAAGCCUCCCGCCACCAAGUGGAUUCAGACGCAUGGUGAUCCCACGUGUUACAGAGUAGAACUGUUCCAUAGGCUUUUCUUGGCUGUGAUCUUUAUGGAAGCAGAUUACCAGGCCUUUAUUCCAUGUUGCCACUAGAUGGGUUUGAACCACCAUCCUUUAAGUUAGUAGUUGUGCGUAAACUGGGCCACCCAAGGACCUAAGUAAAACUAUGUUUAUGAAUUAGGGGAGCAGAUGGCCACUCAUGCCUAUAAAAUAAAGUAUGAAUGAUGAGUGAUGGGUACACACAGGUCUGUAACUGUCCAAAUGCACAGUAGCACCUGCCACAUCCUAGGGUGUAUACAGAGAUAAUGGAAGCCACGGUACUUUCAAUUGCCUCAUAUGCAUGUGAAAGCUGGACAAUGAAAAAGGAAGGCCAAAUAAAAGGUGAAAGAUUUGAAUUGUGGUGUUGGCAAAGAAUACUGACUAUACCUUGGACUGCCGGAAGAACGAACAAAUCAGUCUUGGAGGAAGUACAGCUAGAGUGUUCCUUAGAAGGGAGGAUGGAGAGGCACCUCACUUACUUUGGACACAUUUUGGGGAGUGACCAAGCACCAGAGAAGGACAUCAUGCUUGGUAAAGUAGAAGGUCAGAGAAAAAGAGGGAGACACUCAGUGAGAUGGAUUUACACAGUGGCUACGACAGUGGGGUUAAACAUAGCAAGGAUUGUGAGGAUGGUGCAGGACUGGGUAAUGUUUUGUUCUGUUAUUCAUACGGUUGCUCUGAGUUGGAGUUUCUUGAUGGCUCCUAACAGCAACAUACGGAGUUAUGGGGGGUUCAUGGGCAUUGAUGCCUUAUUCUAUUCUUUAGCUGUCUCCCUGCCCCCAACACACCAGAGGCUUGCAUUGGCACAAUGGAGCUGAGCUCUGAGGAGGUGAGUGAGGUCAGCCAGCACUGAGGCAGAGAAACAGAGUGAAGCCAGGCAGGAAUGGGGCAGUGGGGCACACCUCCUUUCUCUGGUCCCCUGAAUGAACGCAUUCAUUCAUUGUCCACAUCUUCCAUCUCAAAUUCCUUUGCUCCAUUUCUCUGUGGGAUAACUUUCUCUACCUCUGUGUGAGAUACAGAAACAGGGGUGGGUCUCAAAUAGUUGGAAUUCUUUUCUAUUUUGCCACUGCAUUUGCUUUCCUUCAGUUGGAACAAAAGGGUGUAGAGUUUGGAUGAAAACCAACAGGGUUGUAAAGAAUUUUAUCUUUGGAUGAGGCUUUCAAUAACUGCUUUCUGUGUCCUGGGAGCCUAGAAUGGCCUUGUGAGUAAGUAGAGAGCACUUACCAACCCAAACAAAUAUUUUCCCAGGCUUCCCUUCACUGUGGAGCCACACUGGAUUCCAAAAUGGAAAAGGUUAGUGUAAAUUCUUGCUUACCCUGCACACUUUUUCUCCCCAAAUCAGAGGGAAUUUUGAAUGUAGGAAGGAAGGAAAUAAGGUUGAGAGAUGAAGUGCAAAACAUAACGGAGUGAAGACUUUUCUUUUCCUUGCCUCUGGCCCCAUGCUCGCUGGUUGGACCUUCACUGAGGUUGCGCUGUUUACAGAGCUGGGGGGAUGAAUCUGUACUGGGUAUGUCCAGGGUCUCCUGGCCAGGCCGCCUACUAUAGCUUAGCCUGUGUCACAAGCAACCUGGGAUGUUUGGGUUUAGGGGAUAAUGCUAUCGACUCUGGAGUCAUAUUGCCUGGAGUGUAAUCCCUGCCAUGCUCUAACUAUGCAGCCUUGGGCAAGUCACUUAACCUCUCUGUGCCACACUUGUCAUCUGUAAAAUAAAGGCUGGAGUGACACAAAUAGGGUUGUUAAGGGGGUUAAAGUAAUAAUUAUAAACUGCUUGGAAGAAUGCCUGGCACCUAGUAAAUGCUCAAUUAAUGCUAAUUAUUAUUAUCUAAGCCUAAGGUAAUAUUCAAAGAGUCCCUGUGGCACAAUGGUUAAGUUCUUGGCUAGUAACCAAAAGGUUGGUGGUUCAAAUCCACCCAGUGGCUCCGCAGGAGAAAGACCUGGCGAUCUGUUCCCGUAAAGAUUACAGCCUAGGACACCCUACGAGGCAGUUCUACUUGUCUCAUGGGGUUGCCAUGAGUCGAAAUCUAUUCCAUGGCACCUAAUAACAAGAAGAAUAAAGGUAGCAUAGAGAGGAAGCGGCUCACCUUGUUCCAUGGUGUUAUUAAAACGGAGAGUUUGACUUUAGAUACGUACACUGAGGCUGGGCCUCAGCUGUUUGAUUCACAAGGAAUGAACUGAUGAAACAUGACCCUAACCCAGGGUAUUCGCCUCAAUAUCAACCUUUCAAAGGAUAACUGAUGAAAAAUGACCCUAACCCAGGGUAUUCGCCUCAAUAUCAACCUUUCAAAGGCUAAUAAUGUCUUAGCAAUCUCUGAUUUCCAAAAGGUAUUCCUUUCUUUCUUCCUUUUUUUAGUAACAAAAGAUAAACAUAUUUGUAGUGAAAAUUCAUAUAAUACUAAAGUGUAGAAAAUAAAAACCAAAGGCAUUCUUCCACAAACUCCAUUUGCCACACACUGUUAACAAUUAUGGGCUUUGUAUUCAAAAAAAAAAAAGACAGAAAAGAAAAAGGAAUAAUAAUUUCGUUUGGUUGCUGACGCUUCUGAGAUCCAAGUUCUUUUAGUUCUGCUGUCUAUUCAAGAAAAAUGAAUUAUUCAGUAGUUAGUGUGACUAACAUUACCAAUGCGAAGGAAACUAAUUUGUUGAAAGGUUUUUUUUAAGGUCCAUUUCUCAGUGACUCAGCUAGCCUUAUUAAUAUUACCUUAGUAAGUAAGAUUCAUUGUCUCACAGCACUGCAUUUUGCUAAUCACAUAUUCCUGAGGCCAACUUAAGCUUAUCACUUAUUCAGGCACUAAAUCUUUAUUUUGGAAAAAAAAAAAAAAAGGCAAAAGCCUCA